UACGGGAGGCAGCAGUGGGGAAUAUUGCACAAUGGGCGCAAGCCUGAUGCAGCCAUGCCGCGUGUAUGAAAAAGGCCUUCGGGUUGUAAAGUACUUUCAGUCGUGAGGAAGGUGUUAAGGUUAAUAACCUUAGCAAUUGACGUUAGCGACAGAAGAAGCACCGGCUAACUCCGUGCCAGCAGCCGCGGUAAUACGGAGGGUGCGAGCGUUAAUCGGAAUUACUGGGCGUAAAGGGCACGCAGGCGGUUAAUUAAGUUGGAUGUGAAAUCCCCGGGCUUAACCUGGGAAUGGCAUUCAAGACUGGUUAGCUAGAGUCUUGUAGAGGGGGUAGAAUUCCAUGUGUAGCGGUGAAAUGCGUAGAGAUGUGGAGGAAUACCGGUGGCGAAGGCGGCCCCUGGACAAAGACUGACGCUCAUGUGCGAAAGCGUGGGGAGCAAACAGGGAUUAGAUA
rnacentral:rRNA from 1 species